GGCCUCGGAUCAGGUGUGAAUACCCGCUGAACUUAAGCAUAUCACUAAGCGGAGGGAAG
rnacentral:rRNA from 2 species